rnacentral:rRNA from 1 species
UGGCUCAGAACGAACGCUGGCGGCAUGCCUAAUACAUGCAAGUCGAACGAGAUCUUCGGAUCUAGUGGCGCACGGGUGCGUAACGCGUGGGAAUCUGCCCUUGGGUUCGGAAUAACUUCUGGAAACGGAAGCUAAUACCGGAUGAUGACGUAAGUCCAAAGAUUUAUCGCCCAAGGAUGAGCCCGCGUAGGAUUAGCUAGUUGGUGAGGUAAAGGCUCACCAAGGCGACGAUCCUUAGCUGGUCUGAGAGGAUGAUCAGCCACACUGGGACUGAGACACGGCCCAGACUCCUACGGGAGGCAGCAGUAGGGAAUAUUGGACAAUGGGCGAAAGCCUGAUCCAGCAAUGCCGCGUGAGUGAUGAAGGCCUUAGGGUUGUAAAGCUCUUUUACCCGGGAUGAUAAUGACAGUACCGGGAGAAUAAGCUCCGGCUAACUCCGUGCCAGCAGCCGCGGUAAUACGGAGGGAGCUAGCGUUGUUCGGAAUUACUGGGCGUAAAGC